GACGAACGCUGGCGGCGUGCCUAAUACAUGCAAGUCGAACGCUUUUUCUUUCACCGGAGCUUGCUCCACCGAAAGGAAAAGAGUGGCGAACGGGUGAGUAACACGUGGGUAACCUGCCCAUCAGAAGGGGAUAACACUUGGAAACAGGUGCUAAUACCGUAUAACACUAUUUUCCGCAUGGAAGAAAGUUGAAAGGCGCUUUUGCGUCACUGAUGGAUGGACCCGCGGUGCAUUAGCUAGUUGGUGAGGUAACGGCUCACCAAGGCAACGAUGCAUAGCCGACCUGAGAGGGUGAUCGGCCACACUGGGACUGAGACACGGCCCAGACUCCUACGGGAGGCAGCAGUAGGGAAUCUUCGGCAAUGGACGAAAGUCUGACGGAGCAACGCCGCGUGAGUGAAGAAGGUUUUCGGAUCGUAAAACUCUGUUGUUAGAGAAGAACAAGGAUGAGAGUAACUGCUCGUCCCUUGACGGUAUCUAACCAGAAAGCCAUGGCUAACUACGUGCCAGCAGCCGCCGUAA
rnacentral:rRNA from 1 species